GUGGUGGGGGGGCAGAGGCGGGAGAAGCUCUAGGGUUGCAGAUUUAGAUCUCAAGGCUGAAAAGGUUACGCUUGCACCAGAGCAUCCUCUAACGCCGCCUGCCCUGCCCUGCGCGCGCACCGCACUCACACGCACACCCGCCCUCGCACAGGCACACUGCCUCCAAGCCGCUCUACUCGCCAGACUGCAGGGCAAGCGGCCCCUCCGAAGCGCGCUCGCCGGAGAGCUGCACAAAGCCUCGGAAAGUUUCCUACUUGGGCGACGAAGGCGGAUGAGCCUCGCCUCCUGGCUGGGGCGGACCCAAAAGUACCCGAAGUCUCGCCGGCGAGUUGCGCCCUCGGCUGUCCCAGCAGUCACCCUCAAACGCACAUCCCUUCCCUGGCCGAGGGGAACCGAGGCCGCCUAAGAACCGGCCCCGCCGGGCCCUCUGCUGGGGGCCCGGGGAGCCCUGGGAAUCCGCUGCCGGCGCCGCGCCCGGGCGCCCGGCCCCUGCCCAGCCCGCGGGCCGCGCCCGCCUACCCGCUCGCUGGAGCUUUGCGCCCUCAGCCUCGGGGACCUGCCCACCCUACAGCUUCGCUGGAGAAGGAAAAUGAGAGCUACGUUCCCAGAGGAACAGAGUUCGCGUCCUCGCAGGGCACCGAGGGGGACUUCAUCCGGCCCAGGGGCUCUGCAGAUACUCCCCGGGGGGUUGGGGGGGCUCGGGCCAACAGUGACUUUGGAGUAGACCUGAUUUUGUGGCACCUCCAACUCCGGAGUCCACGUCCCCUUGUCACUCAAGAAGUUCAGCUGAGCUUUGCGUGGUGACUGUCCCUCAUCCUGAUCCCCACCCAAUAGCCAAGCCAAGGCCAGAGGUGUGCGGACUUUUUCUUUAAAGACCCACAUCUUAUACAUGUGAGAUUUUUGUCAGGCGGUACAGAUUACUUAAAGCGUACCAUUUCUCCGCGAUCCAAUUUUAUUAGGAUUUGCUCUCAUUUGUGCUUGGCUUCUCUGGGGAAAUAAUGCUUUGAUUAAUGUAAUCCUGGCCCGGGAUCCGCCACAUGCCCCUCGCCCCUCUCCCAAGAGAAAGGGCCUAUUUGACAAACAAUAACAGAGCAGCAACUCUUGCAAUCUGU
rnacentral:lncRNA from 1 species